UUUCUCCCCCCUGGUUUUUUCUUCGGCUAUCUCAAUGAGCGGAGGAAAAGAAAGCGAACAGGAGCAUUGCCUCAGUAACGGCGAGUGAAGCGGCAACAGCUCAGAUUUGAAAUCCGGUCUUGUUGCCGGGCCUGAUUUGUCAUUCUGUAGAGGAUGUCGCUGGCCACGAGUAUCUCCGAUGUCCCCUGGAAGGAGGCACCGGAGAGGGUGAGAGUCCCGUGCGGGGAUUGCUCGAUGGUCAAUGUGCGACUCCUUCGUCGUGUCGAGUAUUUUGGGAAUGCUGCUCUUGAUGGGAGGUAAAUUCCUUCUAAUGCUAAAUAUCGGCCGGAGACCGAUAGCGCACAAGUAGAGUGAUCGAAAGAUGAAAAGCACUUUGAAAAGAGGGUUAAAUAGUACUUGAAAUUGUUGAAAGGGAAGCGCCCGCGACCAGACUUGUGUACGGCCAAUCGCCCCACGCUCUGCCGUGGGGUCUCUUGGCAGUGGUUACAGGCCAGCAUCGAUUCUGGAUUUCCGGGGGAGAAGCGCAUUGGGAAUGUAGCUCCUUUCGGGGAGUGUUAUAGCCCGCUGCUUGACACCCCGGCUGGGAUGGAGGCCCGCGUUAUUUACGAGGAUGCUGGGGUAAUGGUCGUUGGCGACCCGUCUUGAAACACGGACCACGGAGUCGAGGUUUCCCGCGAGUGUGUGGGUGUUAAACCCGUGCGCGGAAUGAAAGUGAACGUAUGUGAGAGCUUUUGCGAGUGCAUCACCUCGACCGAUCCCUAUGUUGUCUUACGGAGGGUAUCGAGUAUGAGCGGGGAGCCUCGGACCCGAAAGAUGGUGAAGUAUGCCUGCAUAGGGUGAAGCCUGAGGAGACUCUGGUGGAGGUUCGCAGCGUUUCUGACGUGCAAAUCGAUCGUCAAAUGUGGGCAUGGGAGGCCGGAAAGGAUACCUAAUCUAGUCAUCUUGUCACCUUGUUACCGCGCCAAAUUAUCUCCCCGAGAAGAAGAAGAA
rnacentral:rRNA from 1 species